AAGUCGUAACAAGGUUUCCGUAGGUAUUGGUUUGCCUGCGGCUGUCAGUCUGCUUUGGCAGGCAACAUCUCUAUCUUGCUGGAAUUUACAGAAUUGUACUACCAGUGGCUCUUAUGAGUUCACAGAUCAAAUAGAGGUGGCCCUCUGGGUUAAGAUAUGAUCGGAUGCAAGCUUUGUUGCUUGCAGUAAGUCGGAACCUGCGGAAGGAUCAUUACUGAGAACUUGCCCCUUUGGGGGUAGAUCUCCCACCCUAUGUUUAUAUACUUUGUUGCUUUGGCAGGCCUGCCUCUGUGCUACUGGCCUUGGCUAGUUAGUGCCUGCCAGAGAACCAUCACUCUGAAUCAUUUAUUGUCUGAGUACUAUUUAAUAGUUAAAA
rnacentral:misc_RNA from 1 species